GACGAACGCUGGCGGCGUGCCUAAUACAUGCAAGUCGAACGCUGAAGGAGGAGCUUGCUUCUCUGGAUGAGUUGCGAACGGGUGAGUAACGCGUAGGUAACCUGCCUGGUAGCGGGGGAUAACUAUUGGAAACGAUAGCUAAUACCGCAUAAUAGUAGAUGUUGCAUGACAUUUGCUUAAAAGGUGCAAUUGCAUCACUACCAGAUGGACCUGCGUUGUAUUAGCUAGUUGGUGGGGUAACGGCUCACCAAGGCGACGAUGCAUAGCCGACCUGAGAGGGUGAUCGGCCACACUGGGACUGAGACACGGCCCAGACUCCUACGGGAGGCAGCAGUAGGGAAACGUCGGCAAUGGACGGAAGUCUGACCGAGCAACGCCGCGGGAGUGAAGAAGGUUGUCGGAUCGUAAAGCUCGGUUGUAAGAGAAGAACGAGUGUGAGAGUGGAAAGUUCACACUGUGACGGUAUCUUACCAGAAAGGGACGGCUAACUACGUG
rnacentral:rRNA from 1 species